rnacentral:snRNA from 1 species
GGAUGUGAGGGCGAUCUGGCUGUGACAUCUGUCACCCCAUUGAUCGCCAGGGUUGAUUCGGCUGACCGGGCUGGCUAGGCGGGUGUCCCCUUCCUCCCUCACCGCUCCAUGUGCAUCCCUCCCAAAGCUGCGCGCUCGAAGAGGACGACCAUCCCCGAUAGAGGAGGACCGUUCUUCGGUCAAGGGUAUAUGAGUAGCUGCGCUCCCCUGCUAGAACCUCCAAACAAGCUCUCAGUUUCUAAGUAUACCUUAGUCACUCCAUCAAUUACAGUGCUAGGCAGCAGUAUAACCUUUUCUAAGUGUGUGCCAUAGGGAAACAUUAAGCUUAUGCCUAUUAGAA